AAAUUUGAAAUCUGGCCCUUUCAGGGUCCGAGUUGUAAUUUGUAGAGGGUGCUUUGGCGUUGGCCGUGGUCUAAGUUCCUUGGAACAGGACGUCAUGGAGGGUGAGAAUCCCGUACAUGGCCGCCGGACUUCGCCGUGUAAAGCCCCCUUCGACGAGUCGAGUUGUUUGGGAAUGCAGCUCUAAAUGGGAGAUAAAUUUCUUCUAAAGCUAAAUACUGGCCAGAGACCGAUAGCGCACAAGUAGAGUGAUCGAAAGAUGAAAAGCACUUUGGAAAGAGAGUCAAAAAGCACGUGAAAUUGUUGAAAGGGAAGCGCUUGCAGCCAGACGUGCCCGCAGUUGCUCACCUGGGCUUUUGCCCGGGGCACUCUUCUGCGGGCAGGCCAGCAUCAGUUCGGGCGGUCGGAUAAAGGCCUCUGUCAUGUAUCUUCCCUCCGGGGAUGACCUUAUAGGGGAGGCGCAACACGGCCAGCCUGAACUGAGGACCGCGCAUCAGCUAGGAUGCUGGCGUAAUGGCUGUAAGCGGCCCGUCUUGAAACACGGACCAAGGAGUCUAACAUCUAUGCGAGUGUUUGGGUGUCAAGCCCGGGCGCGCAAUGAAAGUGAACGGAGGUGGGAACCCCUCGGGGCGCACCAUCGACCGAUCCUGAAGUCUUCGGAUGGAUUUGAGUAAGAGCAUAGCUGUUGGGACCCGAAAGAUGGUGAACUAUGCCUGAAUAGGGUGAAGCCAGGGGAAACUCUGGUGGAGGCUCGCAGCGGUUCUGACGUGCAAAUCGAUCGUCAAAUUUGGGCAUAGGGGCGAAAGACUAAU
rnacentral:rRNA from 1 species